GCAACCUUCCGGCUGAGUUCCCGCCACAUACCGCGGGGAUCGGGGGACCCAGUUACUGGGGCGAAUCGCAGGCGACUGCCGCGUAGCGCCUAUCUCUUUCGGCGCGAGCCCGUCAGCUAACCCCGUAAGCGAGCGAAAGAGCACAU
rnacentral:sRNA from 2 species